GAUGAAGAACGUAGCGAAAUGCGAUAAGUAAUGUGAAUUGCAGAAUUCAGUGAAUCAUCGAAUCUUUGAACGCAUCUUGCGCUCCUUGGUAUUCUGAGGAGCAUGCCUGUUUGAGUGUCAUUAAAUUCUCAACUACACUGACUUUGAAUUGGUGUGGCUUGGAUUUGGGGGGAAAAUUGUUGUGGGCUUUUUGUAUAGUCUGCUCCCCUGAAAUUGAUUAGCGGUACCUUUGUGGAACUGUCUACAGGUGUGAUAAUUAUCUACAUCUUAGACAUCUGCCGGAAUGCUGCUUUCUAAACCUUACUUGUAUUGACAAUCUUGACCUCAAAUCAGGUAGGACUACCCGCUGAACUUAAGCAUAUCAAUAAGCGGAGGA
rnacentral:misc_RNA from 1 species